GGACUAGAAUAACCAGAAGAAGAAACGUUUUGUGGUCAUUUUAUUGACAAAACUCUGUGUUAUUUUCAAUAUUUUCAAGAGCUAGUUUUCAUCUAUGGUUGAUUUUUCGAUUCUUGUGUAACCGGACCCGGAAGAACUUUGUUUUUGAUAUUACAUUUAUUUGUUUUUUGAUGCGAAUCUCCGGUUGUUUUUUUUUGUGUUGAGAGACAUCGUGUGAAGAACGGCGAGCCAGGAUCCAAAAGAGCAGAUUGAGAUUGUGUCCACUACGACGUCAAAGAAGAACCUUCUUCUGUUCCACUUGAUCGGUGGGAUUGCACAUAUUAACACUACCCGGGUAGCUACCAUAUAACAUUCAGAUCUGAAAACUGAAUUGAACUGAAAAAAAAGAAAGGAAAAACUAUUGAACUCGACUGACUUGACUUAGGACUACCAAAAGGAAACAUUGACUAUUUUGUUCUGUUUCAUUAUUGUCAAAAUGUGUAAUAAAUGUGUUUUGUUCAACA